rnacentral:lncRNA from 1 species
GGCUUUUGCUCUUUCCCAGUAAGGAGGAGGCAGACUUUGGCAGCAGAGUCAGCUCCAUGGGUAUGGGAGCCAGAACCAGCCUCAGCCAACUGCUGGAGAUGGAGCCCUAGAUCUAAACUCUCUCAAGUUCCGAGCAUUCAGUUUAAGAGUUGAUCAACACUUAGUGAACAUCCACAGUGUCACCAGGGAUGGCAGAGUGAUGUCACAGAUGCAUCUGUCAGAAGCUCACUGUACCCUGACCGCUUCUCACUUUAUAUCCUCUACUCUGAACCCCUCCCCCAUGCAUUCAUUUGGAAGACAUUGGAUUGUCCCAGUAAGGGAGCAUUAAAAAUGCAGCCAAAUGCAACUUGCAUGUUUUCCACCUUCUCAGCGAGCCUGAAUUAAUAGGUCAGUCC